rnacentral:lncRNA from 1 species
ACAUAAAAUUAAUAAUCCAACCAGUAUUCUUAUGUUUUCCUCUCAUCACAAUUGAGACAGAGUGGCUAAGCAACUUGCCAGUGCUAGGCUAUCGGUUGUACAUAUAUGUGAAUUCAGAAGACAGUCCAGCUUCCUCCUGUUUCUAGACAAUGACGUCACUCCCUGUAUGGGAGAAGUGCAGCCAUGGUAAAGGUGAGAAGAGCCUGCCUGUUGACUAACGUGACACUUCCGGUUGGUAGUCUGUGACAGUACGUUGGCCUGCACAAACCUGGAGAUGAGCAGUGCUCAGAGGGAGCCCCUGCCCUUCUGCCCACGAGUGGGUGCAGAAGGGGACGUGAACAUAGACCUCAGUAACACAGUAUCAAUGUGAAAUAAUGGUGAAGCAGAGAACCCUGGGAAUUGAGGGAGCAGGUGUGGGUGAGCCUUAAACAUGUGUACAGCAAAGGGAGCCUUUUGCAAUCUACCAUAAGAUUCCACUAAUUGAUAUGACCAGGACAGGAAAAUUCAGAGAGACAGAAAUGAAGUCCAUGGUUGCCUAGGGUUAUAGAGAGCUGACAAUUGGUAGGCAAUACCCUCUGAUGGCUAAUAAGGGGAUUCUCUGUGAUAUCAUAAAAAUAUUCUAAAGUGAUUACAACAGUAUAAAGUAGUGUAAUGGGCAGAUUGUGUGGUGUGUGAGCUGCGUGUUACUUUCUUUCUUUUUUUUUCAUUUUUCUUAAUUACAGUUCGGUGAACAGAACUGGUGUGUUUAGGUAACAGUGAGAAAUUUGGUGACAAACCAUAAAUUUUGGAGUUGGUUCUGGCCAUUUGCUGAAGAGUCUCCUACAUCAAAUUAAUAUUUUUUCUCUUUUAUUGUCAAGUAUUGAUUCUAAAACGGGCAUCAUUUAUCUAUGUAUCCAUCAUGUUAAGUGUAGUCAGUCUUUUACUUUUACACAAUAUUGCAUUGUGUAAAUAUGCUAUUUAUAUCAUUUUCUUGUUCCAGGACAUUUUUUCCCACGUUUUGUCUUACACAAAGUACUCCAAUAAACUUUGAUAUCACCAUCUCCCUGGUGCAAUUCUCGAAGGACAGACAAGGAACAAUGUUUUCAUAAAACAUAAAAUGAGCAAUAUUCAUGUUUGUCUAAACUAUACAGAACCAAGGAAGAGGAUAGGCAUAACAUUCAGGUGGCUGCAUUUUAGAUGGAGUGGGGGGAGACAGGCAAGGGUGUUUGGUUGAGACAGGGUCUCUCUGCGUACUCCUGGCUGGCCUGGAACUUACUCUGUAGACUACUUGUCUCUGCCUCACUUCUGGGAUCAAAGGCUAGCACUACCAUACCUACCUUAGUUGCUGUUCUUGAUCAGGUGGCACAUGCCCAACGUGGAAUCAUUUAAACCUUCUAUUUCAGAACGAUGCAAGUAUACAGGAUGGUUGUGAGAGGACCAUGUGUUCUGUAACCUAUUCAAAACUACCAGUAUCAAUAACAAGCAGGUGUUUGUUAGAGUUAAAAAAAAUUGCUAUGUUCAGACAUCCUUUAUUCUUACCUACUGCCUUUUCUGGUAGUUUUGUACCAGUAGAGGACCCUGGAUAUUUGUUUUGUCCCUUGGGCUAUGAUCCACUAUUGUGCUGUUCUGUUGCUCAAUGUUAGUUUUAUCCAUGAGACUUUUAUUUGGCGUCUAUGUCUCUUGGAUGUACCAUCGUUUUUGUAGGGUUGUGACUUUUGUGUUUGGGGUUGUUUGGUUUUGGCUUUGUACUUCCAAACUCUCCAGCACUACAGGGUGUUCCACAUUCAUUUUGUCUAGUUCUUGAAUCAUCUCUAGUCUUAGCAUCAGGUAUUUCUCAAAAGCAGCCCUGGGUUCUUUCACUGGACAGUGGAAUUAGAAACUAUAAUCUCACUGCUCAGUAUGUUCAUUGCUACUGAGGUAUUAUUGCUUCUAGGCCCUCUCAGCUGACAGAGCAAAGAUGUAUGUGCGUGUCUGUAAUCCACACGUAUAUAUGGAUUAUGCUCCUUUAAAUAUUUUCAUAGGUAAUCCUCUGUAUUUAUGGUAGGCCAAUUCAAGUUCAUACUAACGUCUUCAGCUCUGAUUCACUCUCAGAUGGAUCCUGCCAGCCUUACACACUACCUCUCUGCAGCCUUGCAUUCCAGCAGUGAAAUCCCUGGCCCCUGCCAUCUACCCUCUAUUCACAGUAGUGUUCAGUUUUAAUAUACUUUAUAUUAAUAUAUUUUAAUAUAUCAGCAUAUAUGUGAGUUAUAUCACUUACACACACACACACACACACACACACUAUGGGGGAAAAUUAUGCCUAGAUCUCUUUGUCUUUAGUCUUACAGACAGCUUUUCUUAAGAGAUAGGCCCAGCCCUUCAUCCUCCCAGAUCCUUUGGUGGUUUGUUUUACAUGUUUUAUUACAUUUGGAUUUUUUGUCAUUUUCUGCUUUCCAUGGUAGUAUUCCCCUGACUCUGUGGUUGCCUUUUAGAGUAUGCAUGAAUCCAUUUCUAAUCUUUGUACUCCAGUUAUAAGUGGAUUCUAACAAGUACUUAGUGUCUUACAUCCACUUUUGUGAGACCAUGCAAAAUAAUUUCACCUCCAUAUUUUUUUUACAUGUAUAGCAGCACACUGUCGCUGUCUUCAGACACCAGAAGGGGGCACAGAUCUCAUUACAGAUGGUUGUGAGCCACCACGUGGUUGCUGGGAAAUGAACUCAGGACCUCUGGAAGAGCAGUCAGUGCUCUUGACCACUGAGUCAUCUCUGCAGCCCCCUUCUUAUAGUUCUCUAUAAAGGUGCUUUAAACGGUUGUAUGUAGGCUUUUAUAUGAACAUAGAAUUUCUUGAUAGCGUAGUGAACAUUACUGUUGGUCACAUGCUAAAAGAGCAUUUAGUUUAAAAGAGACCACCAUAGUAGGAUCAAUAUGCUGGCUCAUACCUUUUCUUAUACCCAAGAAAAAGUCAGAAGGUUGAGGCUAGCUCGGGCUACGUAGUAAGUUCAAAGCCAGCCUGAGGCUUAUAAAAAUAUAAAGAAAUAAGAAGGAAGCAAGCAGAGAAGAGACUGGCAUGCUGAGUCAGAGUAGUACAUUUUUCAUUCCUACCUCUGACAAGAGGAUCCUGGUGCCUGCACCUUCUCCAGCAGCCAGCAUUGCUAGUCUUACGGAUUUUAGCCUUUUUAGUAGAUAUAUAGUCAGAUUGCUUAUUUUAAUCUGGAAGUCGUUUCUGCCAAAUGGUGCGGGCCGCCUGUUUGGUGAGGUAUACACUCAAACCUUUUUGCCUGGGUUUUGUUUAGUUUUUGUUUUGUUUUAAUUGGGUUGUUUGCUAUUUUAGGCAGUGUAAUUUGUAUGUGUUACAUGUAUUCUUUUGUGUACAUCAGUUCUUUAGUUGAAUUGUUAAAGUAAGAGAGCAUUUGAAAAACGGGCUUUCUAUUGCAGAUAUAAAGGUUUAUUUUGAUUUUUUAAACUUAAAGCUUUACAAGUUGGUAAGUUAGUACUCCACUAUAAUACCACCAGUUGCAAAGCAGAGACAAAAAAACCCCAAAAUGUUAUGGCCAGUCUAGACUAUGUUGCAAGAUUCUGUCUCAAGUAAAAAACAAACACAAACGAAAGUAAUAAUAAUUCAGACUUCAAUCUCUAACUUACUUAGUCUUGUGACUUUGAGGGUGGUAUAUAAUCAAAGAGGACUCAUUUUCUUCAUUCUUAAAAUAAAAAUAAAUAAAU